rnacentral:lncRNA from 1 species
GGAAGUCUAUAAUUUGAUUCUUGUAUAUGGUUUUACUCACUAGAUGACCAAAAAAAGCAUCCUCUUGUACCUGAGUAUGGAAGAAUAGGUUUGAAGUGCUGCGAAGAAGGCCAUAUUGGUAAGGAAUUCUUUCUCAGAGCAGUGUGAGAUAGCACAUCAAUGAUCUCAUCCACAUUAUCCCCUUGGUUCAAUUCAUCACCUUCAUCAUUAUCUGAAAGAGCCACUAAAGAUUCAAUCUCUCUAGGCUCAUAAUCAUCAUCUCCUGAGUCAUCCUCAUCAUCAACC